rnacentral:rRNA from 1 species
UUGAUCCUGGCUCAGUGACGAACGCUGGCGGCGUGCUUAACACAUGCAAGUCGAACGAGUGAAGCCUAGCUUGCUAGGUGGAUUAGUGGCGAACGGGUGAGUAAUACGUGAGUGACCUACCUUUGACUCUGGGAUAAGCCUGGGAAACUGGGUCUAAUACCGGAUACGACCAAUCUCCGCAUGGGGUGUUGGUGGAAAGCGUUAUGGAGUGGUUUUAGAUGGGCUCACGGCCUAUCAGCUUGUUGGUGAGGUAAUGGCUUACCAAGGCGACGACGGGUAGCCGGCCUGAGAGGGUGACCGGCCACACUGGGGCUGAGACACGGCCCAGACUCCUACGGGAGGCAGCAGAAGGG